GUCUACGGCCAUGCCACUCUGAACGUGCCUGAUCUUGUCUGGUCUCGGAAGCUAAGCAGGGUCAGGCCUGGUUAGUACUUGGACGAGAGACCACCUAGGAAUACCAGGUGCCGUAGGAG
rnacentral:rRNA from 1 species